rnacentral:rRNA from 1 species
UGGCGAACGGGUGAGUAACACGUGAGUAACCUGCCCACAACUUUGGGAUAACGCUAGGAAACUGGUGCUAAUACUGGAUAUGUGCUCCUGCUGCAUGGUGGGGGUUGGAAAGCUCCGGCGGUUGUGGAUGGACUCGCGGCCUAUCAGCUUGUUGGUGGGGUAGUUGCCUACCAAGGCGGCGACGGGUAGCCGGCCUGAGAGGGUGACCGGCCACAUUGGGACUGAGAUACGGCCCAG